AAGGGGUCGGCUUUGUCAACUAUGUGGAGAAUGCCGCCGCCCGCGAAGCCAUCCACGCCAUGAACGGUGUCAAGGCCGGCGACAAGCAGCUCCAUGUCAGCCUCCAG
rnacentral:SRP_RNA from 12 species